ACACUUAAAACGCCAGGGUACUACGAGCCUCGCUUAAAACCCAAAGGAUUUGACGGUGUUCCACCCAACUAGAGGAGCCUGUUCUAUAAUCGAUGACCCACGAUCUACCUAACCAUUUUUUGCUAUCCAGCCUGUAUACCUCCGUCGUAAGCUUAUCGCUUGAGUGAGAAGAAGUAAGCAAAAGGGCUUAGAGCCAAAACGUCAGGUCAAGGUGCAGCUUAUAAAAUGGAAGAAAUGAGCUACAAUUUCUAACCUAGAACACACGAAUUACUGCAUGAAACAAGGUCAUGAAGGUGGAUUUAGUAGUAAGUAGGGAAUAGAGAGCCCUACUUAAUUCGGCCCUGGAACG
rnacentral:rRNA from 1 species